rnacentral:rRNA from 1 species
UACGGAGGGGGCUAGCGUUGUUCGGAAUUACUGGGCGUAAAGCGCACGUAGGUGGCUUUGUAAGUUAGAGGUGAAAGCCCGGGGCUCAACUCCGGAAUUGCCUUUAAGACUGCAUCGCUAGAACGUCGGAGAGGUAAGUGGAAUUCCGAGUGUAGAGGUGAAAUUCGUAGAUAUCAGGAGGAACACCAAUGGCGAAGGCAGCACUCUGGGACGUGACUGACGCUGAGACGCGAAAGCGUGGGGAGCAAACAGG